UACAGGGGAUGCAAACGUUGCUCGGAAUUAUUGGGCGUAAAGCGCGCGUAGGCGGCUACCUAAGUCGGAUGUGAAAGCCCCUGGCUUAACCGGGGAAGUGCACCCGAAACUGGGUAGCUAGAGUGCAAAAGAGGGUCGCGGAAUUCCCAGUGUAGAGGUGAAAUUCGUAGAUAUUGGGAGGAACACCGGUGGCGAAGGCGGCGACCUGGGUUGACACUGACGCUGAGGCGCGAAAGCGUGGGGAGCAAACAGG
rnacentral:rRNA from 1 species